ensembl:lncRNA
AGAAUCUCCAGCAAAGCUAAGGAGCAGACCUGGGAGCUGUCCUGCUGAAACAAUGCUCAAAAUCUCACCGAAGAACUGGAGGCAAUGCUGACACCUCAACUGCCCUCCCAGGCACAGCACCGCAGGCUGGCUGCACUGCUGAUGCUGAACAGUGGAGGCCAUGUCUGAUUUUCCCUGCAACAACCAUGAAAGUGAAAACCCACGCUUCAUCCCUGAGUCUGUUGUGGAAGAACAGACUGGAAGACAUCUGCCUCUUGCCUUAUUUUUUUAAAUUCCUCUAAACGCGCCAAGUCUCCACCGCAGAGCCCUGACUCCCUGAACAAACCAAAUGG